rnacentral:rRNA from 1 species
UACAGAGGAUGCAAGCGUUAUCCGGAAUGAUUGGGCGUAAAGCGUCUGUAGGUGGCUUUUUAAGUCCGCCGUCAAAUCCCAGGGCUCAACUCUGGACAGGCGGUGGAAACUACCAAGCUGGAGUACGGUAGGGGCAGAGGGAAUUUCCGGUGGAGCGGUGAAAUGCGCAGAUAUCAGGAAGAACACCCGUGGCGAAGGCGGCUCUCUGGAACGCAACUGACGCUGAGACGCGAAAGCGUGGGGAGCAAACAGG